rnacentral:rRNA from 1 species
GCUCAGAUUGAACGUUGGCGGCAGGCCUAAUACAUGCAAGUCGAGCGGUAACAGAUCGCUGUGAUCCCUUCGGGGUGAACUUGAUGCUGACGAGCGGCGGACGGGUGAGUAACGCGUAGGAAUCUACCCAGUAGCGGGGGAUAGCCCGGGGAAACCCGGAUUAAUACCGCAUACGCCCUACGGGGGAAAGGGGGCCUCUUCUUGAAAGCUCUCACUAUUGGAGGAGCCUGCGUUGGAUUAGCUAGUUGGUGGGGUAAAGGCCUACCAAGGCGACGAUCCAUAACUGGUCUAAGAGGACGAUCAGCCACACUGGAACUGAGACACGGUCCAGACUCCUACGGGAGGCAGCAGUAGGGAAUAUUGCACAAUGGGCGAAAGCCUGAUGCAGCCAUGCCGCGUGUGUGAAGAAGGCCUUAGGGUUGUAAAGCACUUUCAGCAGGGAGGAAUUAGCAAGGUUAAUACCUUUGUGAAAUGACGUUACCUGCAGAAGAAGUACCGGCUAACUCCGUGCCAGCAGCCGCGGUAAUACGGAGGGUACAAACGUUAAUCGGGAUUACUGGGCGUAAAGCGCGCGUAGGCGGUUCAUUAAGUGGGAUGUGAAAGCCCCGGGCUUAACCUGGGAACUGCAUUCCAAACUGACGAACUAGAGUACGAGAGAGGGGGGUAGAAUUCAGAGUGUAGCGGUGAAAUGCGUAGAUAUUCUGAGGAAUACCAGUGGCGAAGGCGGCCCCCUGGCUUGAUACUGACGCUCAGGCGCGAAAGCGUGGGGAGCAAACAGGAUUAGAUACCCUGGUAGUCCACGCCGUAAACGAUGUCUACUAGCCGUUGGGGGGCUUGACCCUUUAGUGGCGAAGCUAACGCGAUAAGUAGACCGCCUGGGGAGUACGGUCGCAAGAUUAAAACUCAAAUGAAUUGACGGGGGCCCGCACAAGCGGUGGAGCAUGUGGUUUAAUUCGAUGCAAC